AUGAAUUUCCUGGCAGAUGAGGAAGGUGACUGCAUCCAGAAGACGUUUCAGAGUGUAAAUUCACAGCCUUUCCAUGUCUAAUCAAGGAACGUAAACCGUUAGCCACAUGUUCUCCAUUUCCAUCACAUUUUUUCACACUUAAACAAAAACAUGCCAAAGAAAAGGUGCUACAUUCUUUAAUGCCCCCAAAUAGGAACCACAGGAGUCUGUUAAAUGUGGUGGCCGUUUCCAGCUUGCAAAUCAAUUUUCCUUGUGGUGGUGAAGUGGUGAAUAAUGCCUGGCUUGUUUUAAGGAGGCAUGACUGAUUUUGGAUGAAGGAUCCUGUCACUUUGGCAUUUUUCAUUUUAUUUAUUGCACACAACCGUAUAAAACUUGGUCCUGAUCUAAGUGCCAGGCAUAAUAGUGGAAAUAGCUGAAAGGACCACAGAACUACUGGUGGAGUAAAGGGGCUUCUCCUGAAAGGCAUCUUCUGGACUCCUCUGAAAUUAUUUUGAAUAACAUGGCAGUCAAGGAUUUCAUCAGCUGGUAUCUGCUGGCUUUAUUUUUUCUUCCAUUUUGCCUGUGUCAAGAUGAAUACGUGGAGGUGAGCAGAGGAUCUUAUAAACCAGUGGCCAAAGUAUUGCAAAGUCAUCACCAGACUGGCCAUAAAGGUUCCAGAAGCAGGGAAAUAUUGAGACAGCGGAGUCAACUUGUAGAGUGGACGAUUGAUGAUAAUAGCACUUCUACAGACCAAAAAGCCCAGAGACCAGAGGUAGAUGAUGUAGAGCAGACUACCUCAGACAGAGUCCAGCCCCCUCCGAGUGGACCCCAGAAUACAGACUGCAGUGCCUGCUGUCGUGGAGAUUUUGGAAUGAAACUCUAUCAAGGACCACCAGGACCUCCUGGACCUGCUGGGAUGCCAGGAAAUCAUGGAAACAAUGGAAAUAAUGGAGCAACUGGCCAUGAUGGAGCCAAAGGGGAGAAGGGAGACAAAGGGGACCUGGGACCAAGGGGAGAUCGUGGCCAUCAUGGACCAAAAGGAGAAAAAGGUUAUCCAGGGAUUCCACCAGAACUCCAGGUUGCAUUCAUGGCUUCCAUGGCAACUCACUUCAGUAAUCAGAACAGUGGGAUAAUCUUCAGUAGUGUUGAAACCAAUGUUGGAAAUUUCUUUGAUGUUAUGACUGGUAGAUUUGGUGCUCCAGUCAAUGGAGUAUAUUUCUUCACCUUCACUAUGAUGAAACAUGAAGAUGUGGAGGAAGUGUAUGUGUACCUAAUGCACAAUGGUAACACAGUUUUCAGCUUAUAUAGCUACGAAUCGAAAGGAAAAUCUGACACGUCAGGGAACAGCGCAGUGCUAAAACUUGCCAAGGGAGAUGAAGUGUGGCUGCGUAUGGGGAACGGAGCGCUACAUGGAGAUCAUCAGCGCUUCUCCACUUUUGCUGGGUUUCUUCUUUUUGAAACAAAGUAAAAACAGAAGUCCAUUUUGAUGCAGCUCCUUUAUUCAGGUGAUAUUCUUUCUGGUCUAUAGAAUGACGUUACAUAUUAAGAGCAAAGAAGGCUUGUUUGGAUGCAGUACGUUGGUAUUUGUGUAUUGGGGAUGCAUUGAACACAUCGAGCAGGUGACACAGAUACAGAUUCUCAUGAGGCUUGCACCAUAGGAGCUGGCUCUGGCUAAACUACAAGAGGACUCAGCUUCAGAUGAGAGUGGAUUUAGAGGAAUCAGUUUAUACUGGACUAGAAAAACCUUUGCAAAAACAAAAAAAAAUGUGAAAAGUAAAGAUGGCAGGGAUUCAGGUUUCUUGCACCAUCCUCUUUUACAUUUUGAAGAUGAGUUUGGUGACUUUAAUACAGUUUUCAUGUACAUAUUCACUCCUUCAAAAAAAAAGUGUGUUAGGUUUUCUCAGUUUGAGAAAUCCAAAGAUGAGUUUCUUUUGCCUGAGUUAUGCAGGUCAUAUGGUUCUUUCUGGUCUACAAAUUGUGAAAACUGUCCUGGCAAUGCUACGUAUCAGGACAGAGACCUAGCCAGUAUUACCGGAGAUAUUUGAAAUGGUUCAAACAGCACAACAAGCUAGAGGACAGGUACUCUGUAGAGCUUGGAGCUCUUUUUAAAAGAAUGACCUUACAAUACAGUUGUCAGUGUUAUUUUUCGCACAAUCUCUCCUGGAAGUGUUGCUUCUAGGAGACAGUUGGCAUGUUUACAUGUACAUUAAUGCACCAUAAUAACAUAUACUAACUUAACAUGCUGUAAUUGGCAGUACUGCUCAGUAGCGCCGGCGCACAUCUUUUACACAAUGCUAACGCACAGUAGACUGAUUCUACAGCGCAUUAACGCAUUAACACAGCUUUUGCCAUGAUGUGCUAAUGUACAAUAGAAUUAGUCUACUGUGCUUUUAGCAUCUCAUGUAGAUACGCCCAGUAUUUCAGAAAUGGCUUUACAAUAUGGUAUGCCAGCAACUACGAUGUAUACAGAAUAUACAAUAUAUAGCUGAUAAACCAAAAUGUUAUUGGUUCAGGUGAUCUGUAUCUACAAACCUGGUUCUGGCCAUUGUAUUUUUGUUAUUCAUCUGUCUUCACAAGCAGUAGCACUUGUCCUCCAUUUUUCAACUUUGUUACUUUAAGUCCUAUCUUGUCUAUGCUUUGGUAUUUUAAAAAUUAAUUUACAAGUUCCAAACAGGCUAAAGCACUCUUAACAGUCUUUAACACAAGGGCCCUUCUGCAUAUUACAGCCUUCCCCAUACAAAGCUUUCCCUGUGUAAAUUUUAUCUUAAGUUCUUUUAUGCAAGAUAGUGAUAACCAUUGACAGUAUCACAGACUAAUGAUUUUAAAAUCUAACUUUUGAAUGUGUGUGUCCUUUUAUUCAUUCCUAGUCUGUGUUAAUUUCUUUUUUUAGGGAAAAAUGUGUUAAUACUUGACCAAUAAGAUUGCUAUGCUUUUUAGAUUUUACUUCAAUCACUGAUAAAUAUGGAUGUUAAUGAAUUGUCAUUUAAUAACAUUAGGUUUUAUUUAUAUAGUGUUGUACCAAAACAUUUCAUAACCUAAGACCUUAUUAUUUUCAUAAGCAUUUUAGCAACAAUUCGGGGUGCCUUAAAAUUAGAAAAGAAAUCACAUUAGGAAAUCCCAUUGGUGUUGCUGUUUUGAAAUAAGUCCACCUAGUGCAUGUGACACAUGGCCUUGUGCAUUAACUUCCAUGAUAAGAGAAAUGUUUGCUGAAAAUACUAUUUCUUGCUUUGUUAGGAAUGUUUGCGUACUUUGUAAAACAUGUAGUUACCUAAUAAACACGAAUAGUUAUAAAA